rnacentral:rRNA from 1 species
GAUGAACGCUGGCGGCGUGCCUAAUACAUGCAAGUCGAGCGAACAGACGAGGAGCUUGCUCCUCUGACGUUAGCGGCGGACGGGUGAGUAACACGUGGAUAACCUACCUAUAAGACUGGGAUAACUUCAGGAAACCGGAGCUAAUACCGGAUAAUAUAUUGAACCGCAUGGUUCAAUAGUGAAAGACGGUUUUGCUGUCACUUAUAGAUGGAUCCGCGCCGCAUUAGCUAGUUGGUAAGGUAACGGCUUACCAAGGCAACGAUGCGUAGCCGACCUGAGAGGGUGAUCGGCCACACUGGAACUGAGACACGGCCCAGACUCCUACGGGAGGCAGCAGUAGGGAAUCUUCCGCAAUGGGCGAAAGCCUGACGGAGCAACGCCGCGUGAGUGAUGAAGGUCUUCGGAUCGUAAAACUCUGUUAUUAGGGAAGAACAAAUGUGUAAGUAACUACGCACGUCUUGACGGUACCUAAUCAGAAAGCCACGGCUAACUACGUG